UUGACCUCGGAUCAGGUAGGGAUACCCGCUGAACUUAAGCAUAUCAAUAAGCGGAGGAAAAGAAACCAACCGGGAUGCCUC
rnacentral:rRNA from 1 species